rnacentral:rRNA from 1 species
CGUCGCCAGCUUACCCUGUGAAGGGAAGUAAGCAAAACGAAAAAUUUCCAAAACGUCAGGUCGAGGUGUAGCACACGGAGUGGGAAGAAAUGGGCUACAUUGCCUGAUUUAGGCUACUACGGAGAGUCGCCUGAAAAGACUAUUUAAAGGUGGAUUUAGCAGUAAAAGGGGAAUAGAGUGCCCUUUUGAAGCCGGCUCUGAGGCGCGCACACACCGCCCGUCACUCUCCCCGAUAAUUUAAAAUUAUUAGUACUUUAACCCGAGAAGCCAAAAAGGGGAGGCAAGUCGUAACAUGG